rnacentral:rRNA from 1 species
GAUGAACGCUGGCGGCGUGCCUAAUACAUGCAAGUCGAGCGAACAGACGAGGAGCUUGCUCCUCUGACGUUAGCGGCGGACGGGUGAGUAACACGUGGAUAACCUACCUAUAAGACUGGGAUAACUUCGGGAAACCGGAGCUAAUACCGGAUAAUAUAUUGAACCGCAUGGUUCAAUAGUGAAAGACGGUUUUGCUGUCACUUAUAGAUGGAUCCGCGCCGCAUUAGCUAGUUGGUAAGGUAACGGCUUACCAAGGCAACGAUGCGUAGCCGACCUGAGAGGGUGAUCGGACACACUGGAACUGAGACACGGUCCAGACUCCUACGGGAGGCAGCAGGAGGGAAUCUUCCGCAAUGGGCGAAAGCUUGACGGAGCAACGCCGCGUGAGUGAAGAAGGUCUUCGGAUCGUAAAACUCUGUUAUUAGGGAAGAACAAAUGUGUAAGUAACUAUGCACGUCUUGACGGUACCUAAUCAGAAAGCCACGGCUAACUACGUG